AUGUAUGUGUCUCCUAUCAAUCAUGGUCCAGGAUCUGUACAUAACAUCUUUCUAUAGAGCUGGAAGAUCCAGCAGGCAAAGGGUUAAAGCCUUCCUAGGAGAUCAGUCACGUGCACCUAGUAUUGACUGAGUAUUAGGUCAGCUGUCUCUGUGACGUGUACGCUGCGCGCCGCUCUCCUCAGGUUGUUCACAGCCCUAUACUGUGACGUAGCGCUGGGUGUUGCCUGGCAACACGUCCAAAUCUCUCAGUGUGCGGUGAAGCGCGGCAGCUGUAAUGACGUCUCUGCACUUCCUGUCAUGCGCACUGUUUCCUAAUAGAUGUCUCCAUUACAGUGAGCUAUUGCUGUGCUCGAAACCUCGCUGUUUUGCUGCACAUAUUAUAGCAGAAUUUAAAAAAAAGACUGCUCUGGGAAUUGAAAUAUAAUAAAGUCUAAACAAGAUCUAAAAUGCCUUCGUGCUUGGUGAAUAAAUGUCUAAGUAAAACAGGCAGAAAGGGACAAAGUCGUGAAAUAGCGUUGCACAGGUUUCCAAAUGACCCUAUGAGGAUCAGAUGCUGGCUACUACAGACCGGGCAGAACUUUCAGAAUUUAGAAUCUUUGGUCAAAAUGAUCCAUGAGGGACAAAAGCAAACUAAAUAUUGGCUAUGUUCUAUUCACUUUGCAGCAGAUGCAUACAUUCAUGCUCGAGUUUUAAGGCAAGAUGCUAUUCCCUCUAUUUUUCCUCCCAUAAGGGAAGGGGAGAGCAUUAUUCAAGAAAAUCUUAAAAAAGUACGGCUGCGUGCGAAAAAAAGACCUUUGGAUUGGACAUCGACUAUAAAAAUGGGUGUUCAAUCAUCCAGCACUGCAGCAGGCAUUUUUCCAGAAGAUGCAGAUAUUAGGCAAUUUACAUGGACUGGGAAUAUGGAUGUUCAGUCAUCCAGCACAUCAGAGGACACUUUUCCAAAAGACAUAGAUAUAAAGCCCUUGCAGUGGACUACAAAUGUGGAUAUACAGUCAUCCAGCACAUCAGAAGACACAGACAUCAAGCCCUUGAAAUGGACAUUGACUGCAAAUAUGGACGUUCAGUCGUCCAGCGCAACAGUAAACAGUUUUCCAGAAGAGACGGAUAUCAAACCCUUGCGAUUGACUGGAAAUAUGGAUUUUCAGUCCUCCAGAGCAUUAGUGGACACUUUUCCGGAAGACACAGAUAUCAAGCCCUUGCAAUUGACAUUAACUGGAAAUAUGGAUGUUCAGUCAUCUAGUUCCUCCGUGAACAUUUUUCCAGAAGAGACAGAUAUCAAACCCUUGCGAUUGACUGGAAAUAUGGAUGUUCAGUCAUCCAGGGCAUUAGCGGUCACAUUUCCAGAAGACACAGAUAUCAAGCCCUUGCGAUUGACAUUAACUGGAAACAUGGAUGUUCAGUCAUCCAGUGCCUCCAUAAACAUUUUUCCAGAAGACACAGAUCACAAACCCCUGCAAUUGACUGGAAAUAUGGGUGUCCAGUCAUCCAGAGCAUUAGUGGACACUUUUCCGGAAGGCACCGAUAUCAAGCCCUUUCAGUGGACUACAAAUGUGGAUAUACAGUCGCCCAGCACAUCAGAAGACACAGAUAUCAAGCCUUCGCAAUUGACGUUGACUGCAAAUAUGAAUGUUCAGUCGUCCAACACAUCAGCGGCCAUUUUUCAAGAAGACACAGAUAUCAAACCCGACAUUUCUAAGCCAAGUUGUUGUACUAUUGGGACACAAACAGAAUUUGCCUUAUGUAACUCAACAGUAAAAUUUUUCGAUCAGGAAGACAAACCUCCUUCUGAUCCUGUAGUUACAGAGACACCCGUCCUAGGCCUACAGGGUCCCGUAUUGUCAACAACUAUGGGACCAACAGAAAAAAUCGCUUUAGUGGAUCUUUACUGGACACCCAGGAUUUUGCUCCUCCCUUGAGAAAUAGGCCACAUGUUAACACUGCACUGUUAAAGGAAUCUUAACGGGAUCUUUCUGAGGAGCUAGUUUUUUUUUUUUUUUUUCUUCUUCUUCUAACCGUCCUGAAGAUGAACCACAAGAUCAAGAUCUAAAAUGCCUGCGUGUUUGGUGAACAGAUGUCUGAAUAGAACCGGCAGAAAGGGACAAAGUCGUGAAAUAGUCUUGCAUAAAUUUCCAAAUGAUCCUAUGAGGAUCAGAUGCUGGCUACUACAGACCGGGCAGAACUUUCAAAACUUGGAAUCUUUGGUCAAAAUGAUCCAUGAGGGACAAAAGAAAAAUAAAUAUUGGCUAUGUUCCAGUCACUUUGCCACAGAUGCAUACGUUCAUGCUCGAGUUUUAAGGCAAGAUGCUAUUCCCUCUAUUUUUCCUCCCAUAAGGGAAGGGGAGAGCAUUAUUCAAGAAAGUCUGAAAAAAGUACGGGUGCGUAGUAACAAAAGACCUUUGGAAUGGACAUUGACUGAAAAUAUGAGUGUUCAAUCGUUCAACACCUCAGCGGGACUUUUCCCCCAAGACACAGGUAUAAGGCAAUUUACAUGGACUGGGAAUAUGGAUGUACAGUCAUCCAGCACAUCAGCGGACACUUUUCCAGAAGGCAUAGAUAUAAAGCCCUUGCAGUGGACUACAAAUGUGGAUAUACAGUCAUCCAGCACAUCAGAAGACACAGACAUCAAGCCCUCACAAUUGACAUUGACUGCAAAUAUGGAUGGUGAUUUGUCUAGCGCGUGUGUGAACAUUUUUCCAGAAGACACAGAUAUCAAACCCUUGCAAUUGGCAUUGACUGCAAAUAUGGAUGUUCAGUCGUCCAGCGCAACAGCGGACAUUUUUUCAGAAGACUCCGAUAUCAAGCCCUUGCGAUUGGCUGGAAAUGUGGAUGUUCAGUCUCUCUGUACAAGCGCGGACAUUUUUUCAGAAGACACCGAUAUUAAGCCCGACAUUUCUAAGCCAAAUUGUUGUACGAUUGGGACACAAACGGAAUUCACCCUGUGUAAUUCAACAGUAACAUUUUUUAAUCAGGAAGACAAACCUCCUGCUGAUCCUGUAGGUACAGAGACACCCGUCCUAGGCCAACAGGAUCCAGUAUUGUUGACCACUACGGCACCAACAGGAAAAAUAGCAUUAUUUACUGGACACCCAGGACUUUGCUUCUUUGUUGACAUAAAGACAACAUGUUAAAAGAAUCUGAACCAGAUCUUUUGGAAGAGCUUGGGUAUCUUUUUGUCCCUCCUAUCAGUUCUAAAGAUGAUCAUAAGAUCAAUGUUAGAAGUUUGCAGAUGAUGAUUUAGUAAAAGCCCCCAAAGAAGAAAGAUAACCGCUAUGUUCCACAUGAAUCCAGCAAUAAAAAAUCCGAUAUAUCUGACAAUUCUUUGUUAUUCCAAAAUUGUAAGAGUAGAGUAAGACCUUUUAAAAAUACCUUUUAAUGGAUCUUCCUGCAAAAAUAACUAAAACCUGCUACAGUGGUCAUAAAUUUUAUUUCUUGGAAACUGAUCCCAAAAUAAAUUGAUAAUCUAGUGAGGUGAACUUUCUGAUAUUGGCAGCAAGAUCAGGAUCUGAUGUUAUUUUGUGAUAGUACACUAGUGCUUCUGUUUGUGGUGCAAGAUUGUGGCUCAGGGUGGUUAGAUGUAUAAUUUUGCGACGCUAGGGCACCGUUAACCCACACGCUCCAAGGAUAGGACAGCUUCUCCUGGGCCAGGUGCGGGAUAGUAAAUUCACUGAUGCCAAGUUACAGAUAACUGUCUUUCCUCAGGCAGGAGUAGAUGCUAUAAUCCUUACAGCGCAAAAAAUGAGCCCUCAGACAGCCCUGUAUGCAGAAAAAUAAAAAAAAAUUAUAGGGGCUGAUUUAAAACAGAUAUUUAUUCUGUCUAAAAUGUUUAUUUAUUUAUUUUUUUUAAGCAGUAAGAUAAUAGAAAAGCGUAUGCAUGGGUAUUGUAUUGACUCA